rnacentral:tRNA from 1 species
GGAGAAUUGGCCGAGUGGUCGAAGGCGCACGCUUGGAAAGCGUGUAUACCGAAAGGUAUCGAGGGUUCGAAUCCCUUGUUCUCCGCCA